CUAUGAACUAUAGAAGUUCAUGGCGGAAGGAG
rnacentral:ncRNA from 1 species